AAGAACGACUCUCGGCAACGGAUAUCUCGGCUCUCGCAUCGAUGAAGAACGUAGCGAAAUGCGAUACUUGGUGUGAAUUGCAGAAUCCCGUGAACCAUCGAGUCUUUGAACGCAAGUUGCGCCCCAAGCCUUUGGGCCGAGGGCACGUCUGCCUGGGUGUCACGC
rnacentral:rRNA from 1 species